rnacentral:rRNA from 1 species
GACGAACGCUGGCGGCGCGCUUAACACAUGCAAGUCGAACGGAAAGGCCUGCUUUCCCUUGUGGAUUGCGGGUACUCGAGUGGCGAACGGGUGAGUAACACGUGAGUGAUCUGCCCCCAACUUGGGUAUAAGCCUGGGAAACUGGGGCUAAUUCCCGAUAGGACUGCAGGGUGGUGCCUGUGGUGGAAAACGAUUUUCUAGUGGUUGGGGAUGAGCUGGCGGCCUAUCAGCUUGUUGGUGGGGUAAUGGCCUACCAAGGCGGCGACGGGUAGCCGGCCUGGGAGGGUGGACGGCCACGUUGGGACGGCGAUACGGCCCAGACGCCUACGGGAGGCAGCAGUGGGGAAUAUUGCACAAUGGGCGGAAGCCUGAUGCAGCGACGCCGCGUGGGGGAUGCCGGCCUUCGGGUGGUAACCUCCUUUCGACCGCGAGGAAGCCACCUGGUUGGAAGGGUGGUGACGGUAGUGGUAGAAGAAGCACCGGCUAACUACGUG